rnacentral:lncRNA from 1 species
UUCACUCUUGAUAUGAAAAUAUGAGGAUGAUUUAAUGGAUUUAAGUGGCACAUUGCUUUUGUUUUGACGAAAUGAACAUAAAAUUUUCUUCCAUAAACAAAUUAAGGAACAGAUAAGAUAAGAGAUGUUAUUGGAAGUGUUAUAAAACAGUCUUUAUGUAAAUUGAGCAAGAAAUGAAAGGACAAGAGAGAAGAGAAAUGGAUUGUGUUGAGUUCAGUUGGGACCCCAACAGCUCAAAUACAUGACAGUUCGUAGUGACUCCUCUGCCUGUUUAAGCUUGUACUUAUCAUCAUUGUUUUUAUGAGCUUUACAUUUUUUCAAGCCUUUGGUACUGAAAUUACCUGAAAAGCUUGCGAUUUGCUUGGAGUUGGAGGAAUUAUCAGCAGAGUUCUUGAGGGAUUUUACCCAACUGUAAUUUGUUUUUGGAGCUUUAUCUUUAACACCUUGCAUCUUCUGCCAACUUAACUGGGUUGUUGAAAGACUAUGAUUUUAGCUGGAAGAUCACUGAAGCUCUCUACAGUCUAUAUAUAAGGGGGAAGAAAGAAGCAUAUAUUGUUAUGUUCUAGUGGUUCCUUGCUUUCAA